GGUGCUGUGGUCCAAUGGUUAAGAUGACUCGUUGUGGCCGAGUUGGUCCCGGUUCGAUUCCGGGCAGCGCCA
rfam:Penicillium steckii strain IBT 24891 PENSTE_contig008, whole genome shotgun sequence.